rnacentral:rRNA from 1 species
UACGUAGGGGGCGAGCGUUGUCCGGAGUUACUGGGCGUAAGGCGCACGCAGGCGGUCUGCUAAGUUUGGAGUGACAGUUGGUGGCUUAACUGCCAAAGUGCUUCGAAAACUGACAGACUUGAGGGCUUCAGAGGGGCACGGAAUUCCGGGUGGAGUGGUGAAAUGCGUAGAGAUCCGGAGGAACACCAAAGGCGAAGGCAGUGUCCUGGGGAGUACCUGACGCUCAGGUGCGAAAGCCAGGGGAGCGAACGGG